UUUUUUAUCUUGUAUCCUCAUUCGAUAAAAUGUACCCCCUUCCCAUGACGUGUAAUAAUUUUCACCGUUUUAUUUAUUUCUUUGCUUGCUUGUUUAACUAGUUCUAACACAAGAAUAAAAUCAACCCCUUACUUAAAAAAGAAUAAAACAAAUGAAAACUCGAUCCAACGUCGAGUAUUUUUUCCAUUCUUGUUCACCCUUAUUUUUU
rnacentral:lncRNA from 1 species